GAUGAACGCUGGCGGCGUGCUUAACACAUGCAAGUCGAACGAUGAAGCCCAGCUUGCUGGGUGGAUUAGUGGCGAACGGGUGAGUAACACGUGAGUAACCUGCCCUUGACUCUGGGAUAAGCCUGGGAAACUGGGUCUAAUACUGGAUAUGACUUCUCAUCGCAUGGUGGGGGGCGGAAAGAUUUAUUGGUCUUGGAUGGACUCGCGGCCUAUCAGCUUGUUGGUGAGGUAAUGGCUCACCAAGGCGACGACGGGUAGCCGGCCUGAGAGGGUGACCGGCCACACUGGGACUGAGACACGGCCCAGACUCCUACGGGAGGCAGCAGUGGGGAAUAUUGCACAAUGGGCGCAAGCCUGAUGCAGCGACGCCGCGUGAGGGAUGACGGCCUUCGGGUUGUAAACCUCUUUCAGUAGGGAAGAAGCGAGAGUGACGGUACCUGCAGAAGAAGCGCCGGCUAACUACGUG
rnacentral:rRNA from 1 species